AACACAUGCAAGUCGCACGGUCAGCAAUGGCAGUGGCGGACGGGUGAGUAACACGUAGGAAUCUAUCCUGGGGUGGGGGACAACAGCGGGAAACUGCUGCUAAUACCGCAUGAUACCUGAGGGUCAAAGGCGCAAGUCGCCUUGGGAGGAGCCUGCGUCUGAUUAGCUUGUUGGUGGGGUAAAGGCCUACCAAGGCGACGAUCAGUAGCUGGUCUGAGAGGAUGAUCAGCCACAUUGGGACUGAGACACGGCCCAAACUCCUACGGGAGGCAGCAGUGGGGAAUAUUGGACAAUGGGGGAAACCCUGAUCCAGCAAUGCCGCGUGUGUGAAGAAGGUCUUCGGAUUGUAAAGCACUUUUGGCAGGGACGAUGAUGACGGUACCUGCAGAAUAAGCCCCGGCUAACUUCGUGCCAGCAGCCGCGGUAAUACGAAGGGGGCUAGCGUUGCUCGGAAUGACUGGGCGUAAAGGGCGCGUAGGCGGCGCGUACAGUCAGAAGUGAAAUUCCUGGGCUCAACCUGGGGACUGCUUUUGAUACGUGCGUGCUUGAGUGAGGAAGAGGGUUGUGGAAUUUCCAGUGUAGAGGUGAAAUUCGUAGAUAUUGGAAAGAACACCGGUGGCGAAGGCGGCAACCUGGUCCUUUACUGACGCUGAGGCGCGAAAGCGUGGGGAGCAAACAGGAUUAGAUACCCUGGUAGUCCACGCUGUAAACGAUGUGUGCUGGAUGUUGGGAAACUUAGUUUUUCAGUGUCGUAGCUAACGCGAUAAGCACACCGCCUGGGGAGUACGGCCGCAAGGUUGAAACUCAAAGGAAUUGACGGGGGCCCGCACAAGCGGUGGGGCAUGUGGUUU
rnacentral:rRNA from 1 species